GGUUAAGUGACUAAGCGUACACGGUGGAUGCCUUGGCAGUCAGAGGCGAUGAAAGACGUAGUAACUUGCGAUAAGCCCAGAUUAGGUAGUAACAACCAUUUGAGUCUGGGAUUUCUGAAUGGGGAAACCCACUUACAUAAGUAAGUAUCAUUAACUGAAUACAUAGGUUAAUGAGGCGAACCGGGGGAACUGAAACAUCUAAGUACCCCGAGGAAAAGAAAUCAACCGAGAUUCCGAAAGUAGCGGCGAGCGAAAUUGGAUUAGCCCUUAAGCUUUACACGCGUUAGACGAACGGUCUGGAAAGUCCGACGAUACAGGGUGAUAGUCCCGUAGUUGACGACGUGUGUUCAGUGAAAUCGAGUAGGGCGGGACACGUGAUAUCCUGUCUGAAUAUGGGGGGACCAUCCUCCAAGGCUAAAUACUACUGACUGACCGAUAGUGAACCAGUACCGUGAGGGAAAGGCGAAAAGAACCCCUGUGAGGGGAGUGAAAUAGAACCUGAAACCGUGUACGUACAAGCAGUAGGAGCAGGCUUUGUCCUGUGACUGCGUACCUUUUGUAUAAUGGGUCAGCGACUUAUAUUCAGUGGCAAGGUUAACCAUCUAGGGGAGCCGUAGGGAAACCGAGUCUUAACUGGGCGUUCAGUCUCUGGAUAUAGACCCGAAACCAGGUGAUCUAGCCAUGGGCAGGUUGAAGGUUGAGUAACAUCAACUGGAGGACCGAACCGACUAAUGUUGAAAAAUUAGCGGAUGACUUGUGGCUAGGGGUGAAAGGCCAAUCAAACCUGGAGAUAGCUGGUUCUCCCCGAAAGCUAUUUAGGUAGCGCCUCGGACGAAUACUACUGGGGGUAGAGCACUGUUAAGGCUAGGGGGUCAUCCCGACUUACCAACCCUUUGCAAACUCCGAAUACCAGUAAGUACUAUCCGGGAGACACACGGCGGGUGCUAACGUCCGUCGUGGAGAGGGAAACAACCCAGACCGCCAGCUAAGGUCCCAAAUUACUACUAAGUGGGAAACGAUGUGGGAAGGCUCAGACAGCCAGGAUGUUGGCUUAGAAGCAGCCAUCAUUUAAAGAAAGCGUAAUAGCUCACUGGUCGAGUCGGCCUGCGCGGAAGAUGUAACGGGGCUAAGUAGUAAACCGAAGCUGCGGCAAUAUACUUUUGUAUAUUGGGUAGGGGAGCGUUCUGUAAGCGGUUGAAGGUGUGUGGUAACGCAUGCUGGACGUAUCAGAAGUGCGAAUGCUGACAUGAGUAACGAUAAAGGGGGUGAAAAACCUCCUCGCCGGAAGACCAAGGGUUCCUGUCCAACGUUAAUCGGGGCAGGGUAAGUCGACCCCUAAGGCGAGGCCGAAAGGCGUAGUCGAUGGGAAACGGGUUAAUAUUCCCGUACUUCUUACAAUUGCGAUGGGGGGACGGAGAAGGCUAGGUGGGCCUGGCGACGGUUGUCCAGGUUCAAGUGCGUAGGCUUAAGAGUUAGGUAAAUCCGGCUCUUUUUAAGGCUGAGACACGACGUCGAGCACCUACGGGUGUGAAGUCAUUGAUGCCAUGCUUCCAGGAAAAGCCUCUAAGCUUCAGAUUGUAAGGAAUCGUACCCCAAACCGACACAGGUGGUCGGGUAGAGAAUACCAAGGCGCUUGAGAGAACUCGGGUGAAGGAACUAGGCAAAAUGGUACCGUAACUUCGGGAGAAGGUACGCUCUUGAUGGUGAAGUCCCUCGCGGAUGGAGCUGACGAGAGUCGCAGAUACCAGGUGGCUGCAACUGUUUAUUAAAAACACAGCACUGUGCAAAAUCGUAAGAUGACGUAUACGGUGUGACGCCUGCCCGGUGCCGGAAGGUUAAUUGAUGGGGUUAGACUUCGGUCGAAGCUCUUGAUCGAAGCCCCGGUAAACGGCGGCCGUAACUAUAACGGUCCUAAGGUAGCGAAAUUCCUUGUCGGGUAAGUUCCGACCUGCACGAAUGGCGUAAUGAUGGCCACGCUGUCUCCACCCGAGACUCAGUGAAAUUGAAAUCGCUGUGAAGAUGCAGUGUACCCGCGGCUAGACGGAAAGACCCCGUGAACCUUUACUACAGCUUGGCACUGAACAUUGACCCUACAUGUGUAGGAUAGGUGGGAGGCUUUGAAGCACGUACGCCAGUAUGUGUGGAGCCGUCCUUGAAAUACCACCCUUGUAGUGUUGAUGUUCUAACGUCGACCCCUUAUCGGGGUUGCGGACAGUGCCUGGUGGGUAGUUUGACUGGGGCGGUCUCCUCCCAAAGAGUAACGGAGGAGCACGAAGGUGGGCUAAUCACGGUUGGACAUCGUGAGGUUAGUGCAAUGGCAUAAGCCCGCUUGACUGCGAGAAUGACAAUUCGAGCAGGUGCGAAAGCAGGUCAUAGUGAUCCGGUGGUUCUGAAUGGAAGGGCCAUCGCUCAACGGAUAAAAGGUACUCCGGGGAUAACAGGCUGAUACCGCCCAAGAGUUCAUAUCGACGGCGGUGUUUGGCACCUCGAUGUCGGCUCAUCACAUCCUGGGGCUGAAGUCGGUCCCAAGGGUAUGGCUGUUCGCCAUUUAAAGUGGUACGCGAGCUGGGUUUAGAACGUCGUGAGACAGUUCGGUCCCUAUCUGCCGUGGGCGUUGGAAGAUUGAAGGGGGCUGCUCCUAGUACGAGAGGACCGGAGUGGACGAACCUCUGGUGUUCGGGUUGUGUCGCCAGACGCAUUGCCCGGUAGCUAAGUUCGGAAUCGAUAACCGCUGAAAGCAUCUAAGCGGGAAGCGAGCCCUGAGAUGAGUCUUCCCUGAUACUUUAAGUAUCCUAAAGGGUUGUCGGAGACUACGACGUUGAUAGGUCAGGUGUGUAAGUGCUGUGAGGCAUUGAGCUAACUGAUACUAAUUGCCCGUGAGGCUUAACCAU
rnacentral:rRNA from 1 species